GCAUAUCAAUAAGCGGAGGAAAAGAAACCAACAGGGAUUGCCCUAGUAACGGCGAGUGAAGCGGCAACAGCUCAAAUUUGAAAGCUAGCCUUCGGGUUCGCAUUGUAAUUUGUAGAGGAUGAUUUGGGGAAGCCGCCUGUCUAAGUUCCUUGGAACAGGACGUCAUAGAGGGUGAGAAUCCCGUAUGUGACAGGAAAUGGCACCCUAUGUAAAUCUCCUUCGACGAGUCGAGUUGUUUGGGAAUGCAGCUCUAAAUGGGAGGUAAAUUUCUUCUAAAGCUAAAUAUUGGCGAGAGACCGAUAGCGCACAAGUAGAGUGAUCGAAAGAUGAAAAGCACUUUGGAAAGAGAGUUAAAAAGCACGUGAAAUUGUUGAAAGGGAAGCGCUUGCAAUCAGACUUGUUUAAACUGUUCGGCCGGUCUUCUGACCGGUUUACUCAGUUUGGACAGGCCAGCAUCAGUUUCGGCGGCCGGAUAAAGGCUCUGGGAAUGUGGCCUCCACUUCGGUGGAGGUGUUAUAGCCCAGGGUGUAAUACGGCCAGCCGGGACUGAGGUCCGCGCUUCGGCUAGGAUGCUGGCGUAAUGGUUGUAAGCGACCCGUCUUGAAACACGGACCAAGGAGUCUAACAUCUAUGCGAGUGUUCGGGUGUCAAACCCCUGCGCGUAAUGAAAGUGAACGGAGGUGGGAACCCGCAAGGGUGCACCAUCGACCGAUCCUGAUGUCUUCGGAUGGAUUUGAGUAAGAGCAUAGCUGUUGGGACCCGAAAGAUGGUGAACUAUGCCUGAAUAGGGUGAAGCCAGAGGAAACUCUGGUGGAGGCUCGCAGCGGUUCUGACGUGCAAAUCGAUCGUCAAAUUUGGGUAUAGGGGCGAAAGACUAAUCGAACCAUCUAGUAGCUGGUUCCUGCCG
rnacentral:rRNA from 1 species